rnacentral:rRNA from 1 species
AUGAGCGAGGAGGACACCGAAACGACCCGCCGCAGCGGCACCUCGCCGGCGGUGCCGGCCUCCCUACCGGAUGACGAGGAUCUUCUCCGGGAGUUCCUGCUCCGCCUCCUGCCAGAUCCCUCCUCGCUCCCGCGCGCCUCCGCCGUCUGCAGGAUCUGGCGAUCCGUCGCCACUGACCCCAAGUUCAUCCGCCGCUUCCGCGUCCAUCACCGGAGCAGCAAGCGGCCCCUCCUCGGCGUAUUCCAUCGCCACAACGACGAGAUCGCGUUCACCCCCGUCCUCGACCCUCCCGAUCGCGUGUCAGGUAUCAGUCACUGA